rnacentral:rRNA from 1 species
AUUGAACGCUGGCGGCAUGCCUUACACAUGCAAGUCGAACGGCAGCACGGGAGCAAUCCUGGUGGCGAGUGGCGAACGGGUGAGUAAUAUAUCGGAACGUGCCCAGUAGUGGGGGAUAGCCCGGCGAAAGCCGGAUUAAUACCGCAUGGGACCUGAGGGUGAAAGCGGGGGAUCGCAAGACCUCGCGCUAUUGGAGCGGCCGAUAUCAGAUUAGCUAGUUGGUGGGGUAAAGGCCUACCAAGGCAACGAUCUGUAGUUGGUCUGAGAGGACGACCAGCCACACUGGGACUGAGACACGGCCCAGACUCCUACGGGAGGCAGCAGUGGGGAAUUU